CAGGACCAGUAUGAACUACAUAGCUGUUGGUGUCAAGUUGGAGCCCAAAGUGCUAUCUUCCUGUUGUCUGUUGGCCGUUUCAGAACUUUAGAAAUGUAAUGAUCAAUUCACUAGAAAGAAAUCCCC
ensembl:snoRNA